GGCACCGGAGCAGGAUCCCGGACUACGGGCCGCAGAAAGUCCGCUCGGUGUGAUACUUUUCACGGAGCUUCGGUGAGAGACUCAGCGACAGGUUUUCACUUCUCUACCCGUUUCCACACCGUCUCUGUCGGCGUGUGUUCCGCUGCUCUGUCCGGGUUUAAUCCCUCCACCCGCCCCGCCACCAUCACAACCAGCCGGCAACAAGUGGCACCGCCCGCCCGGCUCUCAGCGCCGGAGGCCGGGUCACACCGGGAGCUGUGCCCCGCUGAAUCUGCUGCCGGGUGUUCGCUGGGUUCGGUGCACGGUGCGGCCCAGGAGCCGGCGGGCGGCGACACACCUGAGGGCUGGUGAACAAUAGAGUCAGGUUAUUCAGAAGCUACUCGGCGCCAGCGCUUCCCUCCCGUCCCUCCAGCUGCUGCGGGGUUUUAAAAAAAAGUUUGGUUCAAUUGCCGUCGUCCGCUUCGCAGGAUCUUUAAAGUUUCACCUGGAAGAAUGAGCUCCUACACUGUGACGCUGCCCGGCCCCGGCCCCUGGGGCUUCAGGCUGCAGGGAGGGAAGGACUUCAACAUGCCACUGACCAUCUCCAGGGUAAGAACCAGCUGAAACACUGACACUUAUUUGCUGAAGAACAAGUGAUGGAAUCUGCUGGUGCAGUGAGGAAAUCAUAAAUAGAGAUUCAGCUCAUAUGUAUCUGGAUCUUGAAUUAAGACAGACGGAGGCGGGGGCGUCUGAAUGAACACACCAGGAUUGUAAAGUCUCUAAUUGGAGCUUUUUCUUUUCUGCAUGUUCUGCACCUCAUUUCCUGUCGUCUCUUCCAGCAACUGCAACAAAAAAUGUGUUUGUAAAGUUUAAUGAAUUUAA